rnacentral:rRNA from 1 species
UGGUGGAGUGAUUUGUCUGGUUAAUUCCGAUAACGAACGAGACUCUGUCCUGCUAAAUAGUUACAUGUAACUUCGGCUACGUGGGCAACUUCUUAGAGGGACUUUGUGUGUCUAACGCAAGGAAGUUUGAGGCAAUAACA